rnacentral:lncRNA from 1 species
UUAUUUGUGACUAUUUGACGGUCUUUAUUAAAGAGCAAAAUAAACAUAUUUUGUUGCUUGCUUGCAUGCUGUUUAUUUAACAAUCUUUUCUAUGUUUGAUAAAAUUUCAAGAGACUUCUUCAUGAAAAAAUAAAAAAAUUCCAAGAUAAUACAAAUGUCACGUGGAGCUUCAUAGAAGCACAGCAGUACGCUGGCUGAGUCACACCUUAAUCUGCUGCCACCGUAUGUCGAAUACGCAUGAUCGCAG